rnacentral:lncRNA from 1 species
UGAUGUUGAAAAUAUUGAUAUAUGUUUCUAUAUAAAUGAUCAAACUUCAAAAGUUUAACUUCAAGUACUCCUUAACCAUCUUGUCAUUAAGCAUAAAAAAUUACUAACUGCCUGCGUACAACAGCAGCAUAGAAGUCUAGGAAUACAUUAUGACCAGAGGAAACAGAUAGCACAGCUCAAAGGACCAAUUAAACAGACAGCUAAUUGCAGAAUGUGCACGCUGAGAUGUGGACAACUGAACCAUUGUUGCACAUUAAAAGUUCAGCAUCACAGAAUAUUCAGGUUACUUCAGCAGCAUAGAAGUCUAGGAAUACAUUAUGACCAGAGGAAACAGAUAGCACAGCUCAAAGGACCAAUUAAACAGACAGCUAAUUGCAGAAUGUGCACGCUGAGAUGUGGACAACUGAACCAUUGUUGCACAUUAAAAGUUCAGCAUCACAGAAUAUUCAGGUUACUUCAGGGAGAAUCGAUAAAAAAUAUGCCAUAACAAUAGUUGGAUGUAUACUACUGCACAUCGUAUCUUCUACGGAAUUAUGCUGGCAACGCUUCCCAGGAAAAUCAGUUCAUUUGCGACUCAGUGGCACCUUGGUAGCUCACGUUGCCUCAUCCUUAGCCUUAC